rnacentral:rRNA from 1 species
UGAAUAUGCUAUCGGGAAAGGAUGGACCCGCGUCUGAUUAGGUAGUUGGUGAGAUAAUGGCUCACCAAGCCUGCGAUCAGUAGCCGGCCUGAGAGGGUGGCCGGCCACAUUGGGACUGAGACACGGCCCAAACUCCUACGGGAGGCAGCAGUGGGGAAUCUUCCGCAAUGGGCGAAAGCCUGACGGAGCAACGCCGCGUGAGUGAAGAAGGCCUUCGGGUCGUAAAGCUCUGUCUUUAGGGAAGAAAAACUAUAGUGCUAAUAUCACUAUAGCCUGACGGUACCUGAGGAGGAAGCUCCGGCUAACUACGUGCCAGCAGCCGCGGUAAUACGUAGGGAGCGAGCGUUGUCCGGAAUUACUGGGCGUAAAGGGCGUGUAGGCGGGAAUUUAAGUAAGGUGUGAAAACUUCGGGCUCAACCUGGAGAUUGCAUUUUAAACUGGAUUUCUUGAGGGCAGGAGAGGAAAGUGGAAUUCCUAGUGUAGCGGUGAAAUGCGUAGAUAUUAGGAGGAACACCAGUGGCGAAGGCGACUUUCUGGACUGUACCUGACGCUGAGGCGCGAAAGCGUGGGGAGCGAACAGGAUUAGAUACCCUGGUAGUCUACGCUGUAACGAUGAAUACUAGUGUAGGAGGUAUCGACCCCUUCUGUGCCGCAGUUAACACAAUAAGUAUUCCGCCUGGGGAGUACGACCGCAAGGUUGAAACUCAAAGGGAUUGACGGGGAUCCGCACAAGCGGUGGAGCAUGUGGUUUAAUUCGACGCAACGCGAGAACCUUACCAGGGCUUGACAUCCCUUUGCUCGCU